rnacentral:rRNA from 1 species
GAUGAACGCUGGCGGCGUGCCUAAUACAUGCAAGUCGAGCGAACAGACGAGGAGCUUGCUCCUCUGACGUUAGCGGCGGACGGGUGAGUAACACGUGGAUAACCUACCUAUAAGACUGGGAUAACUUCGAGAAACCGGAGCUAAUACCGGAUAAUAUAUUGAACCGCAUGGUUCAAUAGUGAAAGACUGUUUUGCUGUCACUUAUAUAUGUAUCCUCGCCGCAUUAGCUAGUUGGUAAGGUAACGGCUUACCAAGGCAACGAUGCGUAGCCGACCUGAGAGGGUGAUCGGCCACACUGGAACUGAGACACGGUCCAGACUCCUACGGGAGGCAGCAGUAGGGAAUCUUCCGCAAUGGGCGAAAGCCUGACGGAGCAACGCCGCGUGAGUGAUGAAGGUCUUCGGAUCGUAAAACUCUGUUAUUAGGGAAGAACAAAUGUGUAAGUAACUAUGCACGUCUUGACGGUACCUAAUCAGAAAGCCACGGCUAACUACGUG